AUCUGUAGGCCAACCUAGAAGGUUGGGCCAUCCUGGAAAUAGCAUAAUACCCAAUUUUGAUGGUAACACAUUGGACCUUGUAAAAGAUAGAUAAAAUGAAUUUCUGGGCUACCUUCCCAGUUUUCUCCUUCCAGCUCAGAAAGCAAUCACUUACUAAUAUCAUAUGAAGAGAGAGAGAGGGAGAGAGAGAGAAAAACCUUUCUGCAAUUUACAAAAUUACAGAUGGAAUGACAGGGACAGGAUUUAUUCCCCACUGGAAGCAACUGGAAAACUGGAAAAAAAUAUACAAAACAGCAGUUCUCAAGACAUUGUGUGCCGGCAACAAAGGACAGUGAUGCUGGAGAGAUGAGAAAUAAGCAAGGUAAGCCCUAUAGUGUCCCAGCUUACUGCCUGGAGAGAGUAUUCAGGCUGCAGGCCUAUAUUCUCAGAGUAAGGAGAUUCUCAGGGUAAGAUUCUCAGAGUAAGCAGACAAUGUUGAUUGACCGGGAAGGCCAAGGUGGCUAGAGGCCACAGAGUAGAAUGCCAGAAAAGAGAGAACUACAUAGAUUGAAAACUACGCAGACCUGUAGGGAGUCUUUAAGUAUUCAACUGAGUACUGAUCAACACAUGCAUGUUAGGAAACCACCCAAGGCUGGGGGCAAGAAUCUAAAGGAUUAGAGGCGAAAUCCUUGGAGCUCACAUGGAGCCGCAACUGGAACUUCUUCCCACCAGCCAGAAUGGAAAGCCUCAUAAUUCAGUGGGCAUUUGAGUAGAGUACUCAGAAGAAUUUUGCCUCAUUAGUACAGCUAAAGUCAGGCCUGGACUAUCACUGCUCUGUUUCUGCCUAACAAAGCUUAAAAAAACAAGACUCAAAAUGAUCAUAUGCUUUCCAAUGAACUAUCUCCCAUAACAAAGCUCAAGAAUAUUUAUAGAAAUAAAAUACAUAUGCAGCACCCAAGAAGCUAAAUUUUACAAUGUUUGACAUCUAAUAAAAAAAUUUUUUUUUUAAUUUUUUAUUUUGAGACAAAGUCUCACUCUGUCGCCCAGGCUGGUGUGCAGUGGUGAGAUCUCGGCUCACUGCAACCUCUACCUCCUGAGUUCAAGUGAUUCUUGUGCCUCAGCCUCCUGAGUAGCUGGGAUUACAGGCACACGCCACCAUGCUCAGCUAAUUUUUGUAUUUUUAGUAGUGAUGGGGUUUCACUAUGUUGGCUAGGCUGGUCUUGAACACCUGACCUCAAGUGAUCUGCUCACCUUGUCCUCCCAAAGUGCUGGGAUUACAGGCAUGAGCCACUGUGCCCAGCCCAUCUAAUAAAAUAUUAAUAGGCAUGGAAAGACACAGGAAAACAGGGCCCACAAGCUGGUAAAGAAUAAUUAGUUGAAAUUAGCCCAGAAAUUACAUGGAUAAUCAGUUAUUGAAGACAUUAAGCUUAUUGAUAAGGUUGUUAGUUCUGUUAUUAAAACAGAACAUAGAUAUUCCAUAUAUUUAUGGAGCUAGAGAAAAGAUUGAACUGUUAGUUAUAGAUAUGAAGAUACAAAAAUCGAAUUUCUUAAGGUUAAAAUUAUAAUGUGUGAGAUAAAAAGACAGACUGGAUCAAUGACAGAUUAGGUAUUGCAGAAAAAAUGAUGAGUGAACUUGAAGACAUGGUAAUAGAAAUUAUCCCAAAUGAAACUAUCCAAGAAGGAAAAAAUCCUGAACGAAUCAAUAAAGCAUCAGUGGGUUGUGAGGCAACUUCAAGCAAACUAAUACAGGAGAAUUUGGAACCCCCACAGGAGAAGAGAGAGAGGGACAGAAAAACAUUUGAAAGAAAUAAUUACUAAAAACAUUUCCAAAUGUGAUGAAAAUUAUAAACCUCAGGUCUAAGAAUCUUAAAGAACUCCAAGCAUAGGAAACAUGAAGAAAAGUAUGCAAAGACACGUUAUAAUGAAAUUGCUUAAAACCAGUUAAAAAAAGAAAAAUUUAAAAGCCCGAAGCGAAAGACACAUUAGAUACAAAGGAAAAAAGACAAGGAGGAGAGCAGAGUUCUUGAUGAAAACAAUGCAAACUAGACAACAGUGGAGCAACAUCAGUAAAUACUGAAAAAACAAAAACAAAACUUUCAGCCUGUAAUUUUUUAUCCAGGGAAAACAUCUUGCAAAAAUGAAGGUACAUAUUAGUUAAAGGAAUUAAUCACCAGCAGACCCUGCCCUACAAAAAAUGUUGAAAGAAGUCUUUCAAGCAUAAGGCAAAUGAUGCUAGAUGGAAAUUUGGUCCUAUACAAAAUAAUGAAGAGAAUUAAGAAAUGGCAUGUAGAAAAAUAUAGAGAAUUUUCUUAUUAAAUAUCUUUAAAAUAUAAUCAAUGGCUUGAGGCAGAAUUAAAAACCAAAUAUUGUGGGGUUUUAAUGUGUAAGUUUAACAUGUAGAAGUAAAAUGCAUGAAAGCAGCAGCAAAACAAAUAAACAAAAAAUACCCAGAAGGGGAAAAUUAGAAAUAAUUGUAGACCUGACAUGGCUAAGAAAAGAAUCAGUAAACUUGAAGCAGAUCAAUAAAAAGUUUCCAAAAUGAAUUGCAAAGAGAAAAAAAUAAACACACACACACAUGCACACACACACGUCCCCCAACACAUUAAAAAAUUGUGGAGAAUAUGAAAAUGGAAUAAUACAAACUAUUCAAUCCAUCCAAAAGAAGGCAGUAAAAGGAAAAAGGCAAUAAAGAACAAAUGGAAAAAAUGGGAAAUAAAUAUCAAACGCAUAUCUAAUAAAAGACUCAGAUCCAGAAUAUACAGAGAAUUCUCAAAACUCAAACAACUCUUUCCUCUUCAAAAAAAGAAAUGGGGGAAAUCUGAACAGAAGCUUCAUCAAAGAAGAUAAAUGAAUAGCAAGUAGGUAGAUGAAAAAAUGUUAAAUAGCACUAAUCAUUGAGGAAAGGAAAACUAAAGCCACAAAAGAAUGUCACUAUGCACGUAUUAGAAUGGCUAAAAUUAAAAAUCAAAUGUUGGGGGAGAAUGUGGAGCAACUGGAAUUCUCACACAUUGAAUGGUGGGAAUGGAAAAUGGUCCUGCCACUUUGGAAAACAGCUUGGCAGUUUUAAAAAAGAUACAUAUAGCUGCUGUAUGACUCAGGUAUUGCGUGCUCAUGUAACUAUCCAAGAUAAAUAAAAAGAUUUGCACAUGAAUGUUUAUAGCAACUUUGUUUGUAACGGCCCCAAACUAAAAACAACCUAAAUGCCCAUCAACAGGUGAAUAGAUUAACAGUGUUACAAUCAAUGACAUAAAGAGGAAUGGAUUAUUGAUAUACUCAAGAACAUGGAUAAAUCUCAAAACAAUUAUGCUGAUUAUUAUUUAUAUAAAUGUCUAAUUCCAUUUAUAUAAAAUUCUUAAAAUUACACACUGAUCUAUAGUGAUACACAGCAGGUCCAUGUCUACCUUCCAGGUAUAUCUGACUUCAUCUUCUGUGCUUCUCUCCUUUGCUUCCUGGGCUCCAGACAAGCAAAUCUUGCUGUUCUUUGAACACAUCAAGAAUGUGCCUGUCUCAAGGUUUACAUAUUUGCUGAUCCCUUGACAUGGGUAAUGCUUCCCCAGAGAGUUUGCUCCUUACUUCAUUCUAGCCUCUCAUCCAAUAUCACUUUGUCUAACAUAACUCCCAAUGAUCUCUGCCUGCUUGUAUUUACUAGGUGAGUGUGGGCUGGACCUAGUGACUCACUUGUAGCAAAUAGAAUGCAAUGAAGUGAUAGGAUGCCACCUCCACAAUGAGGUUACAAAAAGAGUCUGGCUUACAUCUUUCAUGCUCUGUACCAGUCUUUCUCAUUCUAUCUUUCUUAGAACUCUUGUCAAUUGCCUUACGGACAGACCUAUAAGGCAAGAAACUGAUAUCUGUGAUCGAGAGCCAGUGAGCACCUGGGGCUUGUCACUGGCCAUGUGAGUGAGCUUGGAAGCAGAUACUCUCCCAGUUAAGCUUGGAAAUGAUUGCAGCCCCAACCCUGAUGGCUGACUUGUGAGAGACCUCCUUGAUUCACAGGCACCCAGUUCAUCUGCACCUGGAUUGCUGACCCAUGGAAAUGGCGAAGUAAUAAAUGUUUGUUAUUUUAAGCUGCUAAACCUCUGGAUAAUUUUUUAUGCAGCCAUAGACAACUAAUCCAGAGGUGUUCCUUAGAAAACUAUGUAAAAUAUCCCCACUGACACAUACAAUUCCCAGUACUCAUUGUCCUCUUACCUUGUUUUUUCUCAUUCAAGACAUUUUUCAUCAUUCAAAGUAUUAUUAUAUGUUAUAUAUGUGCUAACUUGCUGUCUGUCUCUCAUUCCCCCAAUAAAAUAAGAUGAGAACAGCAUCUUAUAUCUAGGGCCCGAAACACUGCCUGGCCAAGCUACGUAUAUAUCCAUUACAUAUUUGACACCUUUAUAUAAAAUUUGAAAAAAAAGUCUAGACUAUAAGGCAGGCUCCUUUUAGCUAGAUAUAUUCUACAUAUAUUCAGACCUCAACUCAAGGACAGAGGCCAUCACAGAAAACCAGAAGAAUGAGAAAUUCCUUAAGCUACUGUGUCCCUUUUUCCCUAGGAUCAGGCAAACACACUACUAAUUCAUCAUACACUUAAAAAUAUUUGGAAAGGAGGAAUAAGCAGAGAAGACAACUACCUCUCUGGUCAAGAGGAGCUGUGAGGGCCUGAUCCAGCCACAGGGUGAAAAUCACUAUGGGAACUCAUUAGUGAGGGUUUAACUGAGCCAUCAGAGAGGCAAGGCUGGAGCGAGGCAUCCAAAGGGGCCAGGCAAGGGUGGAAUGGAGGCUAGUCCAGAAUUGGGACAGGGACAGAGGCGGAAUCUGGUUCUUGGUUGAGCCACAGCUUCAGGAACCAGCAGCAGGCUGAGAGAGAGAGAGAUGGACCCCAAGGAAGUUCUUUUUCUGCCCAAGCCAGAGUACAGGUCGAGGCAUCAAGGCUGGAGUGGAAGGCUGGGAAUCAGGCAUUUUCUCAUAGAUUGUAGGACGAGUAAGAGCAGAAGGUACAAGUGAGAUGACACGAGACAUCUCCACGGAGCUGUGACUACAGAUAGGUCUGCAUACAUAGACAGUGUUCAUUCAAAGUACAUUGUAGUAGCCGGGCAUGGUGACACACGCCUGUAAUUCCAGCUACUCGGAGGCUGAGGCAGGAGAAUCACUUGAACUCGGGAGGCAGAAGUUGCAGUGAGCCGAGAUUGCACCACUGCACCCCAGCCUGGGCGACAGAGUGAGUGAGACUGUCUCAAAAAACCAAACCAAACCAAAGCAAAUGGUUCAAUGGUUUUAUGUGGGAUCAAUGGUUUUAUGAGCAAGGUGGAAACCUAACAACCAUUCAUGAUAUCAUUUUUAUGUUAAGAUGAUUUGAGUAUUCCAAGCAACUAAUGCAAAAGCAGAAAUUUUGAAGAAUCCUAAAUUUGAGUUUACUUGAAUUAACAAUUUCUGUCAAUCGUGGAAGCUGCUGCUAUGGCCCACUAGGUGGCAGUAUGGGAGUGAUUUGCUGGUUAACAGAAAAUGGAAUAGGCUUGACUCUCAAGCCACUAGUUUGUUUUUUUCCUAGCAUUUAAAAGUUGACAAUAGAAAAUGUUCAUGGAAUAAUAGAUGGAAAGUCAGACAAGGACUAUCAUGCAAAGGCCAUUGACAUAUAAAAUAAAACCGUUUUACAAGCAGUUACCAUGGAGCAUUUUAUAAAAAGUCAAAACAGCAAAUAAUGUCUGCUGUUCAUAAUAAAUAUAAUGUUUUUAAGUGAUUCUUCUGAUAGGUGAAUGUUAGACAGAUAUAAAAUAGAGACAAGUGAGAGAACAGGACAACGGAUACCUCUUUCCCAGACCUUGCAAAAACCAGGCUCCCUGAAGCCUCUAUGUUGGGGUUUUCAGUUCCCAGAUCCCUACUUCCUCUUUACCCAUCCACACUCCUGGCUUCCCUGUGAGAUGCUCUUGGCAGCAAAUCCCUGACAAGUCACAUCAUUCAAGUAUCUUAAUUCACUCUUUCACUUGUAUUUCCCUGAAAUUAUGGACAAAGACACACUAAUAUUUUGCAAGGUAAAAUUUCCAAUUUUUUUUUUUUUUGUAUGAUGAGUGCUUAGACUAUUGCUGUACAUGUUAAGCACCAU